rnacentral:rRNA from 1 species
UACGUAGGGUGCAAGCGUUGUCCGGAAUACUGGGCGUAAAGCGUGCGCAGGCGGUUAUGCAAGACAGAUGUGAAAUCCCCGGGCUUAACCUGGGAACCGCAUUUGUGACUGCAUAGCUGGAGUACGGCAGAGGGGGAUGGAAUUCCGCGUGUAGCAGUGAAAUGCGUAGAUAUGCGGAGGAACACCGAUGGCGAAGGCAGUCCCCUGGGCCUGUACUGACGCUCAUGCACGAAAGCGUGGGGAGCAAACAGG